CCAUCAUGAUUAAUUUAAACAAAAAAAAAAGUUAAAAUAUUUGUUUGAAACAAGUUUUUAAAAACGUUUCUCUAAAGAUACAUUACAACAUGAGUACCAGUAAUACAUUGCAAGAAAUGUUUCUCUAAAGAUACAUUAGAACAUGGGUACCGGUAAUACAUUGCAAGAAAAAUUAAUAUCAGACCCCCUCUUUCUCAAAGCACUCAUUUCAGUAUAGAACAAUAAUUUUUCUAUACAGUUAAACAAAAUAGCAGAGUGCCCCAAUAGACGUAGUCUUCAAGUCUGAAGAGUGCAGUAGGCCUAUAUUACAUAGCUAUGCAGCUCCUUCUGUGACCUGCAUAUAGUAGACAAAACAUGUCUGCCAGAUGUUAUACAUUCUCUGUUUGCACUUUUAUCGUUGGUUGCAUUGUUUGGUUCUGAAAUGUAAUGUUCCGUUAGCUUGAGCCUUUUUUGUAGGCCACUGACUUUCGUUAUGGGAAAGCUGAUAUUCAAUGUGUUCAAUGGACCUUUGUAACUCAAAGCUACUA